CACGGGGGGAGCAAGCGUUGUUCGGAUUCAUUGGGCGUAAAGAGCUCGUAGGUGGCUUUGUAAGUCGGAGGUGAAAUCCCACGGCUCAACCGUGGACACGCCUUCGAAACUGUGAAGCUUGAGGCCGGGAGAGGAAACCGGAAUUCCUGGUGUAGCGGUGAAAUGCGUAGAUAUCAGGAGGAACACCGGUGGCGAAGGCGGGUUUCUGGACCGGUUCUGACACUGAGGAGCGAAAGCCAGGGGAGCAAAC
rnacentral:rRNA from 1 species